CCUACGGGUGGCAGCAGUGAGGAAUAUUGGUCAAUGGACGAGAGUCUGAACCAGCCAAGUAGCGUGAAGGAUGACUGCCCUAUGGGUUGUAAACUUCUUUUAUAUGGGAAUAAAAUGUUCCACGUGUGGGAUUUUGUAUGUACCAUAUGAAUAAGGAUCGGCUAACUCCGUGCCAGCAGCCGCGGUAAUACGGAGGAUCCGAGCGUUAUCCGGAUUUAUUGGGUUUAAAGGGAGCGUAGGUGGAUUGUUAAGUCAGUUGUGAAAGUUUGCGGCUCAACCGUAAAAUUGCAGUUGAAACUGGCAGUCUUGAGUACAGUAGAGGUGGGCGGAAUUCGUGGUGUAGCGGUGAAAUGCUUAGAUAUCACGAAGAACUCCGAUUGCGAAGGUAGUUCACUGGACUGCAACUGACACUGAGGCUCGAAAGUGUGGGUAUCAAACAGGAUUAGAUACCCUUGUAGUC
rnacentral:rRNA from 1 species